CCCUUCGGGGUCCCCCCUCCGUCCCCAUUCCUGCUCCUGGCUGGCUUUCCUGGCGGGCGCGUCCUCUUAGGAACCUGCUCUGGGACAUCCACCCCCCCCGGGAGGGAGGCCGGGUCCCACUCUGCCCCACCCGGGGGGGGGGUCUGCGAAGCUCGCUGCCCGGUGGGGCGCCUGCUGAACCUGGGAACCAUUGGUGGGGGAAGCAUAGGGUCAAUUCAGGUGGUUGAGGGCGACAAGGCUAUUCCUUCCUCUGGGACUGUUGGGACUCCGGGGCUUGCAAACCUCCCCGCCCCCCAUCAAAAGCUGAUUCUCAUUGAAAUGACACCACGGAGAUCCAUUAAGGCUCGCCCUGAGAUCCCUUUAGCCGGUUCAUUGAGUCUUUGAAAAGCCAGGCACAGAGGAGAGGAGAAAUAACCAUAUUGAAGCUUUUUGCUGUUUUCCUUAAAAUCCCUCCUACAAACUUUAUAGCUUGUGCUUAGUGCUUCCUCUAAGUUUCAGGAAAAUGAAAAGCCCCUGCCCACGCGGGGGUGAAGUGUCUGUAGAGGGCAGGGAAUGGUGGCCAGCAGGAGUCCGCAGAACGAGUGAGCACACUUCCAAGUUUUGCGAGUGCAUGCUAGGUCUUUCUCGCUUGGUUGUUUUUGCAGACAGAGAUUGACAGAGUUGAUUCAGCACCAGCACAGUGCUUGCUCAAGUUCUAGGCGCUUCCAGAAUUUUACAGGCGACUAAAAGGGUUCUGGCAGAAAUUUAAGAAGAGCCCGUUUGCAUCACCUCUAAAUUGUUUCACUCUGGAGCCCAGGCCAGCUUUGAAUUCAUCACCUUCCCACCUAUCAGAGUUCUGGGAUUUCAGGCCUGUGUUCCCCAAGCCCAGCUUUAUAGUUGCUUUCAUUAUUUUUUCUGUACCUAAUCUGUCAUUUUCUUUCAUGUAUUUAUAGUAAAACUGGUGUAUA